AUUGAACGCUGGCGGCAGGCCUAACACAUGCAAGUCGAGCGGCAGCGGGAAAGUAGCUUGCUACUUUUGCCGGCGAGCGGCGGACGGGUGAGUAAUGCCUGGGGAUCUGCCCAGUCGAGGGGGAUAACGUACUGGAAACGGUAGCUAAUACCGCAUACGCCCUACGGGGGAAAGCAGGGGACCUUCGGGCCUUGCGCGAUUGGAUGAACCCAGGUGGGAUUAGCUAGUU
rnacentral:rRNA from 1 species